AGUUGGGUUGUGGGACCCAUUUGAGUCGGUCGAACUACAGAUGUGCAUAUCAAAUGAUCUCUUCUAUGAAUGCCUACAUUACGACUAGUCGUAUUACCCGUACAGAAGCUAUGAGCAAAUUUGAGGUGGGACAAUUUAGAUCUUGAAAAUCAGUCUUCAAGGAUGAUGAUGAUGAUGUGGUUUGAUCUGAUACUGAUGACGAAGAAGAUCAGAAGAAUGAAAAUAAUCUUUUGAUGGUGCCAUAGUCAAGCAAUAUUGAGACCCAGUAAUUUUGGGUUUAUUAGCAGUUGGGAGUGAAACUCUUCUUAUUAUAGUUUCAUUAUUAUUAUUAUUAUUAGUACCUUUGAACUUGUGAAGAGCACAACCACAAUAUCUAUGGUAAGGCCUUCGAUCAAUCUCCAUAUCAUGUAAUGAUAUGCUUCCAGCUUCAAAUACACAACAUAAUAACAUUUCAGCCAUCGACAUAUUUAUUAAUAUAUAUGUAUC